UGAUAUCUUCUGAGUUUUGCCUAUGCAUA
rnacentral:piRNA from 1 species